CGGGGUACCGGAGCCGCACUCGGGUGGGAGGCGUGAGGCGACAGUGCCAGUGCCUGGUUUACUGGGUGCCGGUUCUCUUCAUCAGCAGCAUCCUCUGCUGGUCCUACUACGCUUAUGUGGCCCAGCUCUGCCUGCUUUCAGUGUUUCCUGUAAUCCACUAAGAAUAAAAGAGGACUCAUGGGAGCUGCUCUGCCUUUUGUAAGUAACUAUGGCAAAUAUUGGAGAAAAGGUGGUGUGCCUGACUGCCUAUCAUCUAUUUUUCAUGAUGUUUGUGUGGUCUUACUGGCAAACAAUCUUUACAUUACCAUCAAGUCCUGCCAAAGAAUUCCACCUAACUUAUGCAGACAAGGAAUUGUUGGAGAGAGAAUCUAGAAGUGAAACCCAUCAAGAAGUGCUGAAGAGACUAGCCAAGGACCUUCCCAUUUAUACAAGAACAAUGUCUGGAGCAAUCAGAUAUUGUGACAGAUGCCAACUUAUAAAACCAGACCGAUGCCAUCACUGUUCCGUCUGUGAUAAAUGUAUUUUGAAAAUGGAUCAUCAUUGUCCUUGGGUGAACAACUGUGUUGGAUUCUCCAAUUACAAGUUUUUCCUCCUUUUCUUGGCAUAUUCUUUGCUAUACUGCCUUUUCAUUACUAUAACCGAUUUACAAUAUUUCUUUAAAUUCUGGACAAAUGGCCUUCCUGAUACUCAAGCCAAGUUCCAUAUUAUGUUUUUAUUCUUUGCCGCAGCCAUGUUUUCUGUCAGCUUAUCGUCUCUCUUUGGAUAUCAUUGUUGGCUAGUCAGCAAGAAUAAAUCAACAUUAGAGGCAUUCAGAGCACCUAUUUUUCGACAUGGAACAGAUAAGAAUGGGUUUAGCUUAGGCUUCAGCAAAAAUUUAAGACAAGUUUUUGGAGAUGAGAAAAAAUAUUGGUUGUUACCAAUUUUUUCAAGCCUAGGAGAUGGAUGCUCUUUCCCUACCUGCCUUGUUAACCAAGAUCCUGAACUAGCUUCUACUCCCGGACUUGCUUGUUCAGCCAAAAAUGAGAAUCAACAUGCAUUUCCUUCUAAGCCAUUACGAGAAUCUCAAAGCCACCUUCUUACUGAAUCGCAGUCUUGGACAGAAACUAGUGCAAGUAUUGAAAACAAACUGGGUAUGAGCAAUCCUGCACUAACAAUGGAAAAUGAAACUUAGCCGUGCAAGUUAAAAAAAAAAAAAAGUCCUGGAACUUCAAAUUCAGAAAUUGUUGAUGAGAGGAAGAGAGAUUCUUCCACAACAUCAGCAUCCAUCAGCCAGCUGUUGCAGUCCACUGCUGCGUGGACAUGCUAAGAAGAUACGUCAAGACCUAAUUUAGCUCUCUCCGUAUCAUUGCUUGAAAUACAAGACCUGUUGUCAUCUCGUACAUGUGUAAAAGAAUGUUCUGGUUAACACAAAUUAUUGUUAAAAUACAAAAGGAAAGUCUUGAAAAUUACAGGUUGGAAAAGCAGGAAGCCUUUCAUUAAGACAAACAAGACAAUACUUCCUCCUUUGCAGAUUAUAAAGGUGGUUUUUGCAUUGGCAUAAAUAGCUCAGCCAAGUUAAUAGACUUUACUUACUACUUCAGACUCCUGGGUGGUAAAGUCCUGUUGAAGUGAGGUGGCAUGACACCUCCGUGAUCAUAAUAUUGCAGUGCUAAGAUGGGGAAUUUGAAGGGUCUCGUUUGUUUUUGUUUCAAUCCAUACGAAGAAUCUCUGCAAGCUCAAUCACCAAAGUGCCAGAAUACGACCCUAGAAGCGGGAUACGUUGAGAACCUUGUAUGCUGUAGCAUAUAGUUUUACACAGUAUAUGUAAACAUCUAUUUCAUAUCUCUAUUUAUUUCAAUCUUGGAAGCAGUCAGAAAAUCAGUGGCAGGAUGAGAAAAAAGACUGAUACUUUCAAUGCUUAAUUAUCAUGCACCUGUGGUGACAUUUUUUCUAGUUAUGCAGGGCUGUCUAAUACUCACCAGUGUUCAUUCAAGAGUGUGUGUGUGUAAUGAAAAGAAAAGCUGGAAUUCACUAUCAUGUGACAUACUUAUUGCAGAUUAAAAUAUACCUGAAUACAAUACUUUUCAGUGAAAUUCAGAAUAGCAGAGAGCAUGUUCAUUAUGGCUGAGAGCUUUCUUCAUGGCAAACUUCUGUGGCUGCUGCCAGUAUUCUGCUGUGUUUCCUUUCUGGGAAGGGAUAAUUCAUAUCUCUGGGAAGGUUGGAUUCAGGUAGAAUACAUAGAGAACUCUGUUAUGGAUAGGGCUGCUUUAUAGUGAUGCACUUUCCCCACUAAGCGUUUGAUAGACAGAGGGCAGUAAGUACGUGCAAGAAUAGCUCUUACACACAGACACUGACCACAUUAGCUUAGAAGUACAUUCCAUUGAUUUCUGUAUACAGUGAGACUUACAAUAAAAAUGUAUAGAUUAGGGGAGUUAGGGGGCAGUAGUAACUAAUAACAAGUGGAGAUGUGAGAGGGGGUCUCCUCAUCACUAGAUAAAUUCUGAGACUUCUGGCUUAUGCAAAGGAAAUUCUCAAAUCCCUUUCGAAGCGGUAUAGGGGGAAAUCUAUUGCAAAGUUCCGUCGUCACUUGCUACAUAUCUGCACUUGGAGACUACAACCUUAAUUGAAAACACUUUGCUUAUAUGCACCUAGGACAUGAAUAACACUUUAAAACAAGGUUGUAGCUUAGGAAAUCUAUUAUUACCAUACAUACACAUUCAUGCUUCACUUUGUUGGGGAGGAAGUUUCUGAAUUAGAUAUCCUAAUUCUUACCAAAUGUUUAUUUGAGUGUGAUACAUUUAUUUACCACUCACAUUCAUACUUAGAAAGCAUGUUCUAGCAUGUCUGAUUACAAGUGUAAUAUCAUGCAUUGCAUGAUAAUGCCAUUUGCUGACAUUGCUGUUAUGUGGCACUCUUUAAGACAUUUUUCAUUUAAAAAAUCAACUCAAGGGAAAUAGUAAAUUGUUAGAAGAAAUUUAAGCCCAAUAUCUGACAUCCAACAAAGCAUCCAUGCUUCAAGCAGCUGCAGGGAAUUGGUGAGAGCACUCUUGUGCAAUUGCACUCAUAAUUCAGACUGUAAAGGAGCAGUUUGUGGACUCUCACUGCAUCCCUGCAGCUGCUUGAAGUGUGGACACUUGAUUAUUAAGAAUGUCAGCCAGUGUUUACUUUUACUAAUUCAAAUUCCAGAAACUUACCAACCUACUCCACUUCAAAAAUGUAUCUUGCUUGUUUUGGCACACUUGCUUUUUUUGCACUUGUUCGAUUUCCUAGAUUCUCCUUAAACAGCACUAAGAUGGGGCCAAACCUCCAACAUUUUGCCAUUGAUAUUCUAGUUGCUACCAGAGGAGUCCCAAUAAGUUCUUUUCAAGGCAUUGGAACACAGUUCUCUAAAAGCUCAAUGGUGUGAGAAGGUUCUUUUUUAGUUUUGGAGGUUCAGUGAGUUGUUCUUGGAGAGCAACUUCCCAGCACUAUUUUAUUUUUGGAUAUUUCCACCAUAUGUGGAAAGAAAACCACCUGUUUUGUUUUCAUCUUCUCCAAUGCAACUUAAUACUUUUUAUAUCCAGUCUUGAGUAAUGUUGAAUGGUUUUAAUAUUAGAAUAAUACCUUAAAAACUGUAAUAUUAGCCAGGUAAAAAAAUCUUCCCACAACAUUUUCCUUGGAGAACACUACCAUUUUCUCCCAUGUAUCCUUUUAAUUUUAUAAACAUUUUGACUGAUUUCUAAUAAGGCCUUUUGCACAGCACAGAAAUGAAAGGAGAGAAUGAAAUACAUUGAAUUUACAUAUGCACCUUAUUAAAAGCUUGUAGAGCUAAGCAUCUAAUAAUUUUCAGGAUAUGAUCCACAUUACCGCAAGAUGGACUUGCCCCAUCUAACACAGUUUGCUGCGAUAACUACACUGGCACAUGCUGCCUUAUGUUAUAACAUUAUGCACACCUAUAUAGUGACUCUCAUACUAUGCAGCAAGCCACCUGUCUAAGUGACAGGUGUGCUUGCUACUUCCAUGGCAUUUUAAAUCCACUUAUAUAGCUUGCGGAGGUUCCAUGCCUACUAAUGAAUACAGCCUUGUACUCCCGCUGCUACCUCCAUUUUCCUCAUUGGAGUAGCAGCAGGAGUAUGUGGACACGGUUCAAUGGUGGCGGGGGUGCCAACUUCCUUCAGUUAGUCAGCUGAUCGGGGUGGCAGCGUACUUCUCUGCCAAUCCAUUGCCCCCGUUGGCCGGAAGUCCUUGACAUGCUGGCACACACAUGCAGGCGCAUCAGCGGCCUCUGGCCAAUGGGGGAAUGGGGUGGCAGGGAGGUAUGCUGCCGCCCCGAGCAGCUGUCUUACUGAAGGAUGCCGGCGGGGGGAAAGCAGCAGGAGGGGUAAGUGCACCCUCCCCCACUCUCAAAGUGGUACCCCCACCACCUUCGAACCGGCAGAACCGCUGGUUCUUCAAACCGUUUCAGAGGCCCAUGAAGGGCAUCCGCACCGGUUCUAUGCACAUCCCUACUGAACAGUUGUGAGCCACUGUUCUUUCACACAUACAUGUGGAUGGCAUAAAGUCAGCAACAGUAGCUGUGCCUAAUUGGUACCCCUUAUGCACACUAUUUCCUCAAACAAUCACAUUUCUGUGCAGUGGUACCAUUGCUGGAGAAAGGCCUGUCCAUUCAAUUUUUUUAAAAAAACAAAGCAAAAAAACUUCAAGGGUAUUUUCCCAGCUGCCUCAUGUAUAAGCUGGAGCUGCUAGUCAAUAACCAUGCUGUUACACAAGUGCAUCUAUACUUGGUCAAGCUGGGACCAUGUGUGUAUAUAUAUUGGGCUAGAUGAUGCACAGUCUCCAUGGCUGCUGAGGGCAUUGAUGCUUUCAAAGGCAACUUCGGCAGUGUUGUGAUGGAGCUGCUGCAGAAUGACUUUAAAGUACUUUCAGGCAGUAGUGCAGCACCCCUUUCCCUUGUUUCCAAUGAAAAGGGGCGCUGCACUGCUAUCCAGAAGUGCUUUAAAAUAAUUUCUGGGAGCCCUAUCACUACCCAUUCAGGGCUGCCUUUGAAGUGGCAUGGUACACCCUUAGCACUACUGGGAAACUGCCUAUCAUGUAUCCCAGUAUCUGAACUAAUCCUUAAAUGACUAUCAUAGCCAAGUUGAUUGUGUAGUGUGAACAUUAGCCACUUGCAGCUUCGUUCUCACAUGCUAUACCUGUCAAUCAAACAAAUAAAUAGGAUGCUUAGUGGAGGUUGUGUUUUUAAACCUUAAAAUGUGUUACCUAGCUGUGAAUGAACAAAAUAGUAAGUAACAUUAUAAAGCCCAUGAUUACAAUUUGGGAAAAUCAAAACCAAAGGAGUGCUCUCAACUCUUGCAUAGUCCAUAUAUGGUGCAUCUUAUGAAAGUCACAAGUCCUUUUGCUUAGGCAACUGUCACUUGAGGGCAUAACAGAGCUAUGCCAUGCUGCAUAAACUUUUUCCAGCAACUUGCAUCCUUAAAUCCCCUUGAGCACUAAACAAUUUUCAAAUGAAAAUGAUCUCUCUGAACAAUCUAUGCUUGAUUGUCAAACUUUUUAAAUGCAUUUUUUAAAAAAGCUUUAAGGAGAAAAUGAACACUUUUGUGGGCUCGAAACUUAUCCAACUUAACCCUUUAUGACUUGGUUUCAGAGCCUAAAGAACUGGUGGAGCUGAAGGCUCAUAUGUAAAGCAGGAGCAAAGCAAACUGGUCAAAGAGCUUAUCCAAUAUUACAGACAAUGCAAAAUAUAUGAGCUGAGCUUUAUAAUGCUAUUUACUGUUCUUUUUAAUUGGUUAAAAGGUAUUACUUUGAGCUCUCAAGAACUUGUUGGAUGCAAAACUAGGCUACUUGGUCUGGACACCUCUUUUUACUGCUUUAGUAUUACCUCACUGUUUUUUACAAGAGCCUUUAAGGUAGAUAUUUGUAGUUAGUGCAAAUUGCUGUUUAAUGGAAGAAACAUCUUCUUGAGUUACAAAUUGCUUCUGAAUGUCAAAACUGCCAGUAAGAUAGGAUUUGUCACCAGUACCAAGACCAUCAGCUACUUCGAUAAUGAAAUAUACUAGAAAACAUGAUCAGGACUCUUACAAUUUGCAUGCAUAAACUAAAAGAUAACUCACUUUGCAAACACACUUUCUCUUUCUCUAGUUUGGAAACUAGAAUAGUAAGACAUGACUUAAGGAGCAAGUCCCACAAGUAUUCAAAAUAUGUACAACUCAAAUAUAUUCUGCAUUAGAUAGGUGAAGUAUUGGAAGAGAUGAAAGCUCUUUUUUGUACUGUACAUAAACAGAUUCAUCCUAGGAUCCUUUUACAUUCCAGAAGAAGCACUUGUGUUUGAUUUUGAUAUAAUGCAGGAGAAGGAAAUAAAAAUGAAAGCAAGAAAAUUAAUUGCAUUUUGCUUUAUAUCAGUUAAUUCCAGUGAUUCCGUUAGCUAUUCUGUGAUUAUUGCAUUGCUUUAGAUAAAUGCCAGGUGCAUGUUUACUUGUAGAACAAAGACCAAGUGAGGACAAUUAUUGCAGAGUGUUGAAAAAUAGCCUUUUGGAAUACUCAGGGUACUGUGACUGGACAACUUUACUUCACCUGCAAGGAAUCAUUCUCAAGGACACAAAAUAAGACUAUUCCAUUUCUGUAUGCUUUUUGCCCUCCUCACGUUUUCUUCAGCACUGUUCAAUUAUGCUGGCAAGACUAUUGAAGUAGAAUGAAAAAGUCCAGACUUCCAAAUGCUCUGUUCCAGAACCUUUUUGAACUGUCAUUCUUGUAGUAAGAAAAUUCCCGAUGCUUGCCUGAGUACAUGUUGCUAGGAAGCAGCAUUGUAUAUAGCUACAGAUCUUGCAGAGAGAGUGAAAGAGCUUCUUGCAUUGCUUUUGUUUGUACUCUGUAAAGCAGUAUUAUGUAUUUUUGUAUCAUUAACUUGCUGCUGGGGGGGAAAUAAACCUUUAAGACAAA